rnacentral:rRNA from 1 species
GACGAACGCUGGCGGCGUGCUUAACACAUGCAAGUCGAACGGAAAGGCCCUGCUUUUGUGGGGUGCUCAAGUGGCGAACGGGUGAGUAACACGUGAGUAACCUGCCCUUGACUUUGGGAUAACUUCAGGAAACUGGGGCUAAUACCGGAUAGGAGCUCCUGCUGCAUGGUGGGGGUUGGAAAGUUUCGGCGGUUGGGGAUGGACUCGCGGCUUAUCAGCUUGUUGGUGGGGUAGUGGCUUACCAAGGCUUUGACGGGUAGCCGGCCUGAGAGGGUGACCGGCCACAUUGGGACUGAGAUACGGCCCAGACUCCUACGGGAGGCAGCAGUGGGGAAUAUUGCACAAUGGGCGGAAGCCUGAUGCAGCAACGCCGCGUGCGGGAUGACGGCCUUCGGGUUGUAAACCGCUUUCGCCUGUGACGAAGCGUGAGUGACGGUAAUGGGUAAAGAAGCACCGGCUAACUACGU